rnacentral:lncRNA from 1 species
UGAAAUAAAAAUUCUAUUAUAAUUUUAAAACAUAAAAAGAUACAUGAAUAAAGAAAUUAAAAAUGAAACCCUUUAUUUCCUUUGCUUAGGUUAUACCCGUCUGAAAACCCAACAAAUUUUAAGAAGCACUUGGAUUAUAGAUAGUUGCCGAGAAUUUUUUUUGAAGCCAUCAUAUGAGCCAGUGGAUUUAAACAAGGGGUGGCUACAAACAAACAACUGGGUUAUGCAAAAUGAAAAUGCGAUAAUAGAGUAUACAGGGAAGGAUAGUUGCAGAGAACCCAAUCAUCCUUUUCCUCUUUGGUGGUUAGACAACAGAAUGACUACUCGGACAUCCUUAAUUAAAAAGGACUUUUUUUGUAAAAAAACUAUAGCUCAAUUAGAGGUUCAAACAAAUGAUGCUAUGUCAUGUGGUUUUAUUUUUCGAGUUUUGGGUGAGAGAAACUACUGGGGUUUAAUUAUUGACAAAAAAGUGUUAAAACUAAUUAAGGUUAAUAAAGGAGAAAUGAUAGUACUAAAGGAAUUCGAAGAACUAAAAAUAUCAAAAGACAAAUGGUAUGUUUUAUUUGUUCAAGAAAUUAUUAAGGAUGUCAAAAUCAAAGCAGGGGAAUAUGGUGAUCUCAGUGUUAAUUAUUUUAUAAAAAGCGAAGAUGAAGAGGAGCUAGAAAAAAAAAAACUGGGGUCUGUUGGUUUGUUUGCAAAUAAAGGAAACUGCAAAUUCAGGAAUAUAAUAUUGAGGGGUAAAAAAUGGAGCACAGAAUACGAAAAAUUAAAGUCGAAAAAUGAUGCUUUAUUGUAUGACCUUGAAGAAAUAGAAACGUUAUAUGAAAACUCGCAAGGUUGGUGUCCUAGGUCUUCACUUUGUUUAAAAAGUAAAUACGAUGUAAUAUAAUCUUAAAAACAAAAUAUUUAAUAAUUUAUUAUUUGUUAUAUCCAUAUAACAAUGUAUACAUAUGUACAGUAAUACAUACAUACAUAUAUACAUAUAUAUGCAUACGUGUAUGUGAAAGGGUAAGCACUUUGUUUAUCGAUUUUUUUUUUUUUUGUACUAAUGUUUGCCACCUUUUUUUUUUUAAUAUAUUUGUGAAUUUUUUUUUAAAAAAAAACGAAUCGUUAUUUAUUUUAUUUUUUUGUAUACGUGAGAAACAUAAUGUAUGUUUUUAUAUAUGUUUCUACAUAUAUAUAUAGAUUCAGAUAAAUUUUUUUUUUUGUUGUUCUUAACGAUUGAAUAAACAAUUUUUUUUUGUAAAAAAUGUAAACUCA